ACGGAAGGCAGCAGUGGGGAAUAUUGGACAAUGGGGGCAACCCUGAUCCAGCCAUGCCGCGUGAGUGAUGAAGGCCUUCGGGUUGUAAAGCUCUUUUGGCGGGGACGAUGAUGACGGUACCCGCAGAAUAAGCCCCGGCUAACUUCGUGCCAGCAGCCGCGGUAAGACGAAGGGGGCUAGCGUUGUUCGGAAUUACUGGGCGUAAAGCGCGUGUAGGCGGUUGCCAAAGUCGGGUGUGAAAGCCUUGAGCUCAACUCAAGAAAUGCACUCGAUACUUGGUGACUAGAGGACCGGAGAGGAUAGUGGAAUUCCCAGUGUAGUGGUGAAAUACGUAGAGAUUGGGAAGAACACCAGUGGCGAAGGCGGCUAUCUGGACGGUUUCUGACGCUAAGACGCGAAAGCGUGGGGAGCAAACAGGAUUAGAUACCCUGGUA
rnacentral:rRNA from 1 species